AUUGAACGCUGGCGGCAGGCCUAACACAUGCAAGUCGAGCGGAGCUGCGGACGGGUAGGUAAUGCCUAGGAAUCUGCAUGUUAGUGGGGGAUAACGUCCGGAAACGGGCGCUAAUACCGCAUACUCUCAGAUGAGCCUAGGUGGGAUUAGCUAGUUGGUGGGGUAAAGGCCUACCAAGGCGACGAUGCGUAGCUGGGCUGAGAGGAUGAUGAGUCACACUGGAACUGAGACACGGUCCAGACUCCUACGGGAGGCAGCAGGGGGGAAUCUUGGACAAUGGGCGAAAGCCUGAUCCAGCAACGCCGCGUGUGUGAAGAAGGUCUUCGGAUUGUAAAGCACUUUAAGUUGGGAGGCGUUACCAACAGAAUAAGCACCGGCUAACUUCGUGCCAGCAGCCGCGGUAAUUC
rnacentral:rRNA from 1 species